rnacentral:lncRNA from 1 species
GUCCGCGUUCGUUUCGUGUAAGUGCGUCACUCCUAUUGAACCUUUUGGGACAUAUGAAACAUUUUUAAGUAGUUGUAUGCGACUUGACAUGUCUCUGAUAAUUGACUCUAUGUUUUAUGACCCUGUUACAAAUUUUACAUUUAAAUCCCUCGUCUAUUUCUAAAUUUCUCUUUAAGUUUUCGCAACUCGUUUUCAAAGGUUGGACUACCAUCUCUAUAUAUUUUGUCUGAAUCAUGAAAUAUUGUUUCUAAAUCCAGGAUGUUGACAUGUGGACAAGAGAGCCGCUUGCUCUUUAAAUAUGAGUGUUAUAUCUUGUUUUCCAUUGGCCAUCAGGUUAACAAACAACCAAUCAGUACGUAAACACCCAAAAUUAGCUGACUAUGCAAGUAAAGAUACGUACAGAAUGCGUCUGGAAUCACAUGACUAGCGUGUUCACUGUUACACAACUUAUAUGACAAGGCCGUGUAGCAAGGGGAAAAAAAUCAGACAAACAGACGGACAGUCAUGUGAGAAGACUGAAUAUGAAUAAAGACGACAUAAAGGAUUUGUAUUGAUGUUUAUAAAUAUAAGAAUAGUGAACAUAUAUAAAUGUGAAUGAGUGAUCAGUCUCGAAAAAGUGAUCCUACCUUUGCGAAUCCC